rnacentral:rRNA from 1 species
GCUGCCUAGCUAGCCCAAUAUGAUUAGGCCAAUACUACAACAAAGAAUAACCUAACAAAACCCACAAUAUCUUAAAUAAAGCAUUUUUCCACCCAAGUAUGGGAGACAGAAAAG